AUGGUUAUUUAUUUUUUUGAGACAGAGUCUUUCUGUCACCCCGGCUAGAGUGCAACGGCUCAAUCUCAACUCACUGAAAUCUCCACUUCCUGGAUUCAAGCGAUUCUCCUGCCUCAGCCUCCUGAGUAGCUGGGAUUACAGGCGCCCACCACCACGCCUGGCUAAUUUUUGUAUUUUUAGUAGAGAUGGGGUUCACCAUAUUGGCCAGGAUGGUCUCAAACUGCUGACCUCGGGUGAUCUGCCUGCCUCAGGCUCCCAAAGUGCUGGGAUUACAGGUGUGAGCCAAGGAUCUUUAAAUGAUGUUCUCACUGACUGGAUUGCUGUCCCCCAUCUCUCUCUCUCUCUCUCCCCUUUUCUUUGGGGACUGUACACAUUCACCCUGCCAAGCCUUACUUGCCUGUCUUUGACCCUUCCUGGACCUGUCCCUACCCCAGACAAAGCUAAUCCUCCUGUUAUUCUGUCUCCAUACCGACAUGUGGAUGGAUCUCUGUUCUGACAUGAAUUCAUGCACUGCCUCUCAUUCAUCCAACAGACUUUUCAGGAACACCUGCUGUGUGGCCGGCACUGUAGUAGGUGCCAGGGAUACAAAGAAGAAACUUUCAGGGCUCUUAGGAAGACAGGAAAACAAGUCAAUCAGCAAUGGUCCUAGCGUGGUGAGUACUGUGUUGGGGCAAUACACGGAGCACCAAGAGUUGGACAUAUUCUUUUUUACAGCUAGAGUUAAAGAUUCUCUUGAUAAAUAGAUAUAGGUAGAUAAAUAGAUACAUGCCCCUCUAUAUAUGGGUAUCUAUCAUAUCUAUUUAUCUGUCUAACAAGAGAUUUAGCUGUAGAUAUUUUAAGAGCCUAUAACUCUUAUAUAGAUAAAUGGAUACAUGCACCUCUAUAUAUGGGUAUCUAUGCUAUCUAUCUAUCUAUCUAUCUAUUUAUCUAACAAGAGAUUUCGCUGUAGAGCCUAUAACUCAGCAUGAACAUCGGCCUUCCGGGUGUUGUGUUCAUCAUGAAUGAGAAGACGUGCAACCUGGUGUAUGGGGGCCGGAGUAAGGGCCUAAGACAAGCUCAUCCACACAUGACCUUGACAUGAAAACGGUGUGGACUCGGCUAACUUGGCUUCACCCUGCGUUCCCCAACAGCACUUUGUGAACCACUCUCUCAGUCUUUUUCUUUCAGUAACGUUUUGUGUCCUCCCAAAUUAUAAAAGUAAUGCAUGCUUUACUCAGCUACUCUCAAUACAGAAAAGUUCAAAACAAAAAACCAAACAGCCAUGUGUAGUGGCUCAUGCCGGUAAUUCCAGCACUUUGGGAGGAAAAAGGAUCACUUGAGCUCAGGAGUUCGAGACCAUCCUGGGCAACAUAGCAAGACUCUCGUCUGUACAAAAAAAAAUUAAACAUCAGCCAGUCAUGGCUGCAUGCAUUUGUAGUCCCAGCUACUUGGGAGGCUAAGGUGGGAGGAUUGCUUGAGCCCACGAGGUCGAGGUUGCAGUGAGCUGUGGUUGUGCCACUGUACUCCAGCCUGGGUAACAGAGCAAGACCUUGUCUCAAAAACAAAACAAAAUAAAACAAACACUCAUUUCUACAUCAUUCAAAAAAAUUGGUUCAUAUUGUUCUCUCAACAUUUUCCUCUUACACAAUUUCUUUGCCAUAAUGAUAAUUCCAGUUUUCUAAGCACUAGGCAGUGCUGUAAGCCCUCUGCAUGUAUUAACUCAUUUGAUACUAUCUCUGUACCCUGGGAUGUGGAUCUCCAUCCUUACAUGAAUUCAUGCACUCCCUCCUUCGUUCAUUCAGCAGACUUUUCAGGAACACCUGCUGUAAGCCUGGCACUGUGGUAGGUGCCAGGGAUAUAAAGAAGAAAAUUUCAGGGGUUUUAGGAAGACAGCCAAACAAGUCAAUCAGCCAUGACCCUAUCAUGAUGAGGAAACUGAGGUUCUGAAUGAUUAGAUGACUCACCCGAUAUCACACAGCUGGUAAGCACGUGAACCAGGAUGAGAAACCCAGGCUAUCUAUGCCAGUGCCCAGUUAACCAGUUCACCAGAACACCAGAAGCCGCCCCCAGGGCUGCAAGCUGACCAUGCCUGGGACACAGGAGGUUGCAGUGGUGAAGAUCAACAGGCGGGGCGAGGAGCAUCUCCGUCUCCCUCUGAAGACCAUUUGGAAGAGGGUGUGAGAGCUGCCGCCAGGCUUUCCCAGAGAACAGCUGGGCCUGGAAGGGGCGGUCCAGGUCCCAUAAUAACUGCUACCUGCUGCUGCAGCAAUUUUCCCUGCUGGGUGUUUCCAAGUCCGAGUCUCCUGGGGGAGGAGGCUGGGAGGAGGAGGAGGAGGAGGGCUGAUUCUCUAAACUCCCCCUGCUUCUCACCAAAGGUCUGUCCUUGGCCCAGCUUCCCUUCCGAAGGUUGAGUAAUCUCAAAAAAUUGCAGCCUGGCAUGAAAGAGCAGGCCUGCAGGCCAAGCCAGAUCACGUCCGCACGCGGGAUGCUUGGCCCACAUGCUCCUGUACACUUGUAACUGUUAAACCAGAGGACAAGAAGCAACAGAUGUCCUCAGAUCACCAAACCAGCAAAUGCGCAGAGCCAUGGUGGGCGUCUGGCCCCAGUGCUUGGGUGGCCCCUAACAUCAGAUUAAGGAAAAAAGACCUCUCCUCAGCUGGAACGUCCCACUUCCUCCUCCCUCCUCCUCACCAGUAUUUUUCUCUCUGCUUUGCCUGGAUUGGAGUCCUGACCUGGCUACUCCCAGCUGUGUGAACUGGGCCAGCAACUUAGCUCCGUUGUGCCUCAGUUUCUCCAUCUCUAAAUGAAGCGCUUAUUCCUCUCUCAUGGAGCCGUCGUGAGAAUUACGUGAAUGAAUACAGGCUGACUACUUUGAACAGUGCCUGCUGGGCAAAUGGACAGCAAGGUGCUCAAAAUCAGGGUUCUCUUUCAAACCAAUCCCUUACACUUUCGGUCCAGUAGAGGGCGAUCGCAACAAUGACUAGAAAGAGAACAGCAAUGAAAGGAGGACUGAAGUGGGGCUUCCCAGUUCCCUACACAUUCAUAGGAUUCCUCCAGGAACGCUGAACCAUGGAGACUGAGGAUUGAAUUCAGUAUGGCAGCCACGUUUCUGGGUGGUAGUUUAGCAUUCUGAACAGAUAAUACAUUCACGUGGUCGAGAACUAAACUAAAACAAGAAGGUAUGUAGUAACACCCACCACCCUCCUACCCCAAUCCCUAACCCUUUUUGCCUGACUUUCUGCUUCACCUCCACCACAGGUACUGUUAGUUUUCUCUUGUGUUCUCUACCAGAAGUUUCAAUGCCAAUGCCAAUAUAAACAAAUGCAGGCUGGGCGUGGUGGCUCACGCCUGUAAUCCCAGCACUUUGAGAGGCCAAGGCGGGCGGAUCACCUGAGAUGAGGAGUUCGACACCAGCCUGACCAACGUGGUGAAACCCUGUCUCUAUUAAAAAUACAAAAAUUAGCCGGGCGUGGUGACGUGCACUGUAGUCCCAGUUACUCAGGAGGCUGAAGCAGGAGAAUCACUUGAACCCGCGAGGCAGAGAUUGCAGUGAGCCGAGAUCGCGCCACUGCACUCCAGCCUGAGUGACAGAGCGAGACUCCCUCUGAAAAAAACAAAACAAAUACAAUAUUAACACCCACCCCAUUUUACCCAAAAGGUAGUGUUGUUCUGAACACACUAUUCAGUAGCUAGCUUUGCGUAUUCAUGAUCUAUCUUGUAGAAUGUUCCAUACCAGCAUCUAGAGAGGGUCCUCAUCCUUUCUUUCUUUUACAGCUUCAUAGUCGUGCAUGGUUCACCAGCGUUAUUACCUAUUCAUCUAGCCCCUCACUGAUGGGGACUCAGGUUAGCCCUCACCUUCUGCCUUAAAAGUAAAGCUCAAUGAAUAACCCUGGAUAUAUUUUGCACACAUACAAGUGUAUCUAUUAUCUAUAGCAGUGACUUUCAGCCCCAGUCGAACGUAAGCAUCACUCAGGGGGCUUUACAAAAAUCCCCAUACGGGUGGCACACAACUCUAAUCCCAGCACUUUGGAAGGCCAAGGCGGGCAGAUCACUUGAGCUCAGGAGUUCCAGACCAGCCUGGGCAACAUGGCAAAAACCUGUCUCUACAAAAAAAUACAAAAAUUAGCCAGGCGUGGUGGCACGUGCCUGUAGUCUCAGCUACUUGAGUGGCUGAGGUGGGAGGAUCGCUUGAGCCUGGGAGGUCAAGGCUGCAGUGUGCUGAGAUUGCACCACUGUACUCCAGCCUGGGUGACAGAGUUUUUUGAGGCAGGCAAGACCCUGCCUUUAAAAAAAAAAAAAAAAAUGCCGAGUGCGGUGUCUCAUGCCUGUAAUCUCAGCACUUUGGGAGGCCGAGGCGGGCAGAUCACGAGGUCAGGAGUUCAAGACCAGCCUGCCAACCCCAUCUCUACUAAAAAUACAAACAUUAGCCAGGCGUGGUGGUACGCACCUGUAACCCCAGCUACUCGGGAUGCAGAGGUUGCAGUAAGCCGAGAUCACGCCAUUGCACUCCAGCCUGGGCAACAGAGUGAGAUUCCUUCUCAAAAAAAAAAAAAAAAAUCUCCAUACCCAGGGCAUAUCUCAGACCAAUUAUAUCAGAAUGUCUGGGUGUGGGAUCAGGGGACCCUGGUGAUUCCCAUGUCCAGCCAUGGCUGGGCACCACUGACCCUAUAGGGUAAAUGGAUUGAUCAAGGGCACACAGACUUGUAAAUUUGCUAGACAUUGCCAACUGGCCUCUACGGCGGCUCCAUGGGGGUUGUGUCAAUUCACACUCCCACCAGCAAUGUACAAGAGGACCUGGGUCUUCCACAGCCUCCCCAGCAAAGUAGGCUUGUCAAAGUUUUUUAUUUUUACCAAACUGCUAGUUUAUUUAUUUAUUUUUUAAAGGUAUCUCAAUUUUGCUUUAAUUUGCAUUUCUCUUACUAGGAGUUGAGGUUGAGCAUCUUUUUGCAUGUUUAAGAUCAUUUAAUCUGUCUGGUCAUAUUCUGUGCCCAUUGUUCUUUUCAUUUUCUUUUUUUUAAGUUUGACUUCUCUAUAUUUUAGCAAGACUAAUUCUUUACUUGAGUUGCAAACACUUUUUACUGCUUUGUCUUUUUAUGUUUACACUUUGCAUGAGGUGGUAUGGUAUGUUUUUUUUUUUUUUUCCUGGAUCACUUUUUAUGUGUUUGAAUGUAUUCAUCUUUUCAAUGGCUUUUGGAUUUGGAUUUGGGUAACAUGGUUUAUGGUUAGAAGGAAGCUCCCCAUAUUUUCUUCUGGCACUUUUGUGAUUUCCUUUUUUUGAGACAGAGUCUCGCUUUAUCGCUCAAGCUCGAGUGCAAUGGUGCGAUCUCAGCUCACUGCAACCUCUGCCCCCCGCCCCGGGUUCAAGCGAUUCUCCUGCCUCAGCCUCCCAAGUAGCUGGGAUUACAGUCGUCUGCCACCACGCCUGGCUAAUUUUUGUAUUUUUAGUAGAGAUGGGCUUUCCCCCUGUUAUCCAGGCUGGUCUCGAACUCCUGAGCUUAUGAGAUCCUCCCACUUCAGCCUCCCAAAAUGCUGGGAUUACAGGAGUGAUCCACUGCGACUGGUCUGAUUUCCUUUAUUUGUGUUUAAAUUUUUGAUCCUUUUGGAAUUUUCCCUGAUCAAAGGAUCCACCUUUGUUCUUCUUUCUAAUGGCCAAUUGUCCCAUUACCCUUGUCAAGGAGUAAGGUAGGAAUGGCUUUGUGGGGUAUGAAAUGUGAAUUUCUUUUUGUCUUAUUUAUAACAGCAUCUGCCUCUACUCUUCUGAAACUGUGUUCCUGUCCACCCACCCAUUCAACUACCCAUUGAUUGACUGAUUGAUUGAUUCAUUCAAUUUCUCGUUUUUGUUUUUUUGCUUGUUGAGAAUUCUAACAUUAAUUGGACAUUGUCCCUGACCUUUUGGGUUUCUAUUUAGGAUUUGUUUUUAUCACUUAAUAACCAACAAUGAUGACAUUUUAUCGAAUGUCUAGUAUAUUUGUUCCAAGUAUCAUUUCAAUUACACUUAAAACAAAGCAGUGAUGUCAGUUAUACUAUUUUUCCCAUUUGAGGAGUCAUUUAAAAGAGGUUUUGAGGCUUUCCAAUGGCCCCCAGUUGGAAAGUGGCAGUACUGGAUGCAAUUCAAGAGCCCAGUCUUCAGGAUCCUGCCUUUUUACCUACCUGGACGCUGUAACUGGUCUCUGUGGAAUGGCUGGAUGAGGGAAUGAAUGAAUGAGUCAGUGAAGGAAUGAGGAAGACAGAAUGAGUCAGCUCGUGCUUUCAGAGGAGCCCAAAGGGAGAGGUUAAGAUAGGAAUGCAAAUGACCAGAAUCCAGAGUAAACGCGAGCCCACCAGCGUUUUGGAAGCAGUCCACUUUCUACCCCCUCCUAUUUAAAAUGCUUCAUUCUUUCCAGUUCCUCCCCACCUAGAAUCCAUGGAACCAAACGCUGGGGUAGGGACAGUGGCCAGCCUGUCUCCUUGGGUUUGACGCAUUACAUCAUCCACGUGGAGGUCCCCUGUGGAGCUCUGCAGCCC
rnacentral:lncRNA from 1 species